rnacentral:lncRNA from 1 species
AAAAUCGGAACAACAUUAGACUACUCAGUUGCGCCCUAACAGUAUAACUUUACAACGAGUACUUUUCCUCAUUCUAUCGAACAAAGAGUAAAACCUAUUUAUAUUGUUCUAUUAUGCCCUGAGAGUGUAAAUAUGAAACGAAUUGAUGUCAACCUUCACAAGAACCAAAACUGGAACAACAUUAGACUCAUCAGUUGCGCCCUAACAGUAUAAAUUUGCAACGAGUACUUUUUCUCAUUCUAUCGAACAAAGAGUAAAACCUAAUUAUAUUGUUCUAUUAUGCCCCAAGAGAGUAAAUUUGGAACGAAUCGAUGUCAACGUUCACAAGAACCAAAACCGGAACAACAUCAGUUGCGCCCCAACAAUAUAACUUUGCAACCAGUACUUUUUCUUAUUCGAUCGAACAAAGUGUAAAAGCUAAUUAUAUGUUCUAUUAUGCCCCGAGAGUGUAAAUUUGGAACGAAUCGAUGUCAAUGUUCAUAAAAACCAAAACCGGAACAACAUUAGACUACUCAGUUGCGCCCUGACAGUAUAACUUUGCAACGAGUACUUUUUCUCAUUCGAUCGAACAAAGUGUAAAAGCNAGGUAGCCCUGUACCUAGUCGAGAUGUGAGUCAGGUGAGGAGCGGGGUAGCUCUUUUCCUAGGACCUUUGAGAUUGGGAUCUUAAGCAAGUUGGCCUAGUCGAUUGGGUUGUAACAUGAAUAGCAUAAGUGAAUUGCAUUCUUACCAUGUUUAGAUAUAGUACACUGCAUAGCUAUGUUGUAGUUGUAUUUACUUCAUUGUUAAAGCAUACUAGCAUGACAAAUGAUGUGACAUGCAUUCCUUGCAUUUGAUGGCAUAGUAGAUAUAGUAGCAGUUUAUUUCCAUAUAUCUCUUUCUAUCUAUCUAUCUGUGCCAGCUUGGACCUAGUGGGAAGAUCGGCGGAGUCGACGGCCGAACCCACUGGGAACUAUAUUUAUAUAGUUCUCACCCCGUGUGGUUUUGGGGUACAGGUACACACGAGAGCGGAUCGGCAGAGGAUCGCGAUAUGGGCUUAGCGCCCUAGUGCUAGUUGGUAGUUUACUUUCCUACUGCAUUAGAGUUACCCUAUAUGUUGAGAGUAGAUGAUGUAUAGGAUGUGAGGUAUAUUUUGAGGAAAAUGUAAACUUUAAGUUUAUGGUUUGGGUGAAUGUAUAGCUAAGUUGUAAUUAAAUGUAUCAAGUUGAAUGGUUGUAAUAGAAUAGUUAAGUAUCUCUCUCUUUUGUUUCACUUGUAUGUUUAUUACUCGUGACGCUUGCUCAUGUAAUGUUCAGCACUGUUUGUGCUCUCGCUGUUGUUGCAUGAUCAUGUAUGUAUUCAAGUUGAUUUCCUGGGAACUUGUUGUACAUGAUCUCAUCAUUUGAGUCUUAGGCGGACAGGGGAGACUCUGUCCGUUCGGCGUCCGUUCGCCGCGCCCGAACCGUGCCAAAUUGGUAGCGGUCUCGGGGCGGGGGCGUGACAAUUAGGCUACUCAGUUGCGCCCUAACAGUAUAAAUUGGCAACGAGGGCUUUUUCUCAUUCUAUCGAACGAAGAGUAAAUGCUAAUUAUAUUGCUCUAUUAUGUUCCGAGAGUGCAAAUUUGGAACGAAUCGAUGACAACGUUCACAAAAACCAAAUCCGGAACAACAUUAAACUACUCAGUUACGCCCUAACAGUAUAACUUUGCAACGAGUACUUUUUCUCAUUCAAUCGAACAAAGUGUAAAAGCUAAUUAUAUUGUUCUAUUAUGCCCCGAGAGUGUAAAUUUGGAACGAAUCGAUGUCAACGUUCACAAGAACCAAAAUCGGAACAACAUUAGACUACUCAGUUGUGCCCUAACAGUAUAACUUUGCAACGAGUACUUUUUCUCAUUCUAUCGAACAAAGAGUAAAACCUAUUUAUAUUGUUCUAUUAUGCCCCGAGAGUGUAAAUAUAAAACGAAUCGAUGUCAACAUUCACAAGAACCAAAACCGGAACAACAUUAGACUCCUCAAUUGUGCCCUAACAGUAUAAAUUUGCAACGAGUACUUUUUCUCAUUCUAUCGAAUAAAGAGUAAAACCUAAUUAUAUUGUUCUAUUAUGCCUUGAGAGAGUAAAUUUGAAACGAAUCGAUGUCAACGUUCACAAGAACCAAAAUCGGAACAAUAUCAGUUGCGUCUUAACAAUAUAACUUUGCAACCAGUACUUUUUCUCAUUCGAUCAAACAAAGUGUAAAAGCUAAUUAUAUUGUUCUGUUAUGCCCCGAGAGUGUAAAUUUGGAACGAAUCGAUGUCAACCUUCACAAGAACCAAAAUCGGAACAACAUUAGACUACUCAGUUGCGCCCUAACAGUAACUUUUGCAAUGAAUACUUUUUCUCAUUCUAUCGAACAAAUAGUAAAACCUAAUUAUAUUGUUCUAUUAUGCCCCGAGAGAGUAAAUUUGGAACGAAUCGAUGUCAAUGUUCACAAGAAUCAAAAUCGGAACAACAUUUGACUACUCAGUUGCGC